CUGCUGCCUUCCGUAGGAGUUUGGACCGUGUCUCAGUUCCAAUGUGGGGGACCUUCCUCUCAGAACCCCUAUCCAUCGAUGCCUUGGUGGGCCGUUACCCCGCCAACAAGCUAAUGGAACGCAUCCCCAUCGAUGACCGAAAUUCUUUAAUAGUUCUACCAUGCGGAAGAACUAUGCCAUCGGGUAUUAAUCUUUCUUUCGAAAGGCUAUCCCCGAGUCAUCGGCAGGUUGGAUACGCGUUACUCACCCGUGCGCCGGUCGCCA
rnacentral:rRNA from 1 species